rnacentral:lncRNA from 1 species
AUGCUGAAGAGCAGCAGGGGGAGACACAGGGUGAGGGCUGUGAGGAACGGAUCGGGUGGACGAGCCCAGAAAGCUGCAUCAGAGCUCAUCCACGCUCCCUGCUUUGACCUGCGGUGCUCAGGCGUCUGGCAGCAGAAGGCUCUACGAAGAGAGAAGAGGAGCAGCUCCCUGAGCCCGUGGAGAACUGGAUCUGCUCCAUUUGGGCAUCCUCUCAGAGCCCGUACCUACACUGCCCGGCCAGCCAGGGCUCCCAGAGGGGCUCAACAGCAUCGAGCAUCGCCGACAGAAAGUGCAGGGCUCCUGGGACACGGACAGGAAAGCAGCGCAAGCCAGGAGCCUUCCAAUAGUACAUAUUUUUCUCUUGAAACGUGCCCUAGGUUGAUCUGGUUUAAGGCAGUCAUCCAGCAGCAAGCUGCUUGCCCCCUCUCCCUGGCCCACCUUGCAGGGAUCAGUAUGGUAUUCAUGAGGGCAAAAUCCAAAGACAAACCCCCAGAGAAUGGCUCUUCCCCUGCCAUACGAGGCCAGACGGGUAACCUGCGGCACGGUACCGCUGGGGAAGCAGGGAGAAAGCUGUCAGUCCUACUGCAGGGGCAUUGCUCAAAAAACCACAAAGCACCAAAACACACCAAGAUCACCGAGCAGAGAAGCUGGCAGAGGGCACAGGAGCGGUGCGGGAGGAGGAGGCUGCUCCACCCGUGCUCUCCCCCCCUUGUCACACCCCGUCGGCCGCAGUCCCCACAGCCCGUUCCCCCCCCGAGCCCUCCUCUUGGAUCAUUAAUGCCAAAAACAAGGCAGCGAGCCCAGGUCGGAGGCCUAGCAGAGGCUGAAAGCACAUUCCUUCCCCAGCCUCCUCCCUCCUUAUCUCCUUCCCCUCUCCCCCAAAAACACGUUCAGAUAAAAGUGAUUGGAACAGUAAAACCCGUAACUGAAACACGAGCGGGAGAGGGACGGGGGCUGCGCUGCGCUCUGUCCAGCAGGCCUGCCGGAGCAGAAAAAAGGCAAAGGCGAGCCCAGGAUCACCUCUAA